GUGGGAACUAGUGUAGCUUCAAAUAAAAUAUAGAGCAAAAUUAGUUCGAUGGCGGUGAAGGUUAUAAUUAGGAAUAGUUGCAAAAGGGUGAGUAUUGUGAUGUAUAGUUUUUUUUGGGCAAGGGUUUCUUUUGAUAAGUGUCAUUGGCUGGCUAUAAGUAUUAGUGUUAGGAGACAUGUUGCUA